GAUGAACGCUGGCGGCGUGCUUAACACAUGCAAGUCGAACGGAAAGGCCCAAGCUUGCUUGGGUACUCGAGUGGCGAACGGGUGAGUAACACGUGGGUGAUCUGCCCUGCACUUCGGGAUAAGCCUGGGAAACUGGGUCUAAUACUGGAUAGGACCACUUCUUGGAUGGUGUGGUGGAAAGUUUUUUCGGUGUGGGAUGAGCUCGCGGCCUAUCAGCUUGUUGGUGGGGUAAUGGCCUACCAAGGCGUCGACGGGUAGCCGGCCUGAGAGGGUGUACGGCCACAUUGGGACUGAGAUACGGACCAGACUCCUACGGGAGGCAGCAGUGGGGAAUAUUGCACAAUGGGCGCAAGCCUGAUGCAGCGACGCCGCGUGGGGGAUGACGGCCUUCGGGUUGUAAACUCCUUUCGCUAGGGACGAAGCGUUUUUGUGACGGUACCUGGAGAAGAAGCACCGGCUAACUACGUG
rnacentral:rRNA from 1 species